rnacentral:rRNA from 1 species
AACUACAGCCAUACCACCCUUGAAAGUGCCUGGUCUCAGCUGCUCUCAGAAGCUCAGCAGGGUUGAUCCAUGAUACCACUAUGAUGGAAAUACUUGUACAGUUACAUGUUCUAUGUUUA